rnacentral:lncRNA from 1 species
UCACAAAAGCUCAUAUAUUAACUACACGAAUUCCUUUACAUUUACAAAUAGCCAAAAUACUUUGCAUUCUCUAGCCGCUUCCCACCCACUGGUCCAGCCUAUUCUUGAAUGACAUCUUCUAGGCAUACUUAAGUUACAUCGGCUGCAUCUAAAAAACAGAGGAGACAAGGGUGAGUACGAUAAAUCAUACCCAGCAAGCAGAUACUUCACUAUUCAACAAAAGCAAUGGUAUAAUGGUGUAGAUCAACAAACGAACUGAAUCCAAAGGAUAAACAAGGUAACCAUCAUUGAAACAUAUUUUACUGGAGAUGUGUAAAAUGAAUAGCAUAAUCGGAGACGAACAAGGGAGUUAUUGGCAUCACAGGUGAGCGCAAGCUUCCCAACCCGAGAGUCACACGGAUGAAAUUUCACACUUUUACGCUCUUAAGAGAGGUACUCCGAUGUCGACAGCCUCGACCAGAACCACACAGGCUCUAGUAGAGCAGAGCUCUUGUACCCACUAAGACCCGAACACUUGGACCUACUGAUGUCGGUCGCUCCUACGGAUCCAUCACCGACACGCUCCCGAACAAGGUCCGUCCUUAGUGAAGAACCCAGACAGUCCCAUACCUGAACUGUGACCGGUACAUUACGUUUGCCAUCCUGACACCAAUAAAAUAGGAUAUGUGUUUGAAUCAACGAUAGGAUCACUGGAGUCGAAGACAAUACACUCAUGACUUUUCAUGAGUUCCUCCAAAAUACUCUGAUUCCAUCAACAAAUGGAUCAUCAAGAAAUGGAUUAUGAGGACACACAUCCCUCUCUCAAGGAUCAAUAAGGAUCAAGGUGCAACAAUAUUAUCAAAUAAUCAAGGAAGGCAACAAUAAAGCGAGAUCAGGAAGUUUAGCAAAGCAGCUACUUGCCUCGGUAGAACCUUUCUAUCAAUAUUAUCCCCACAAGCUUGCCCUUGAAUAAACGUGGUACAACGAUCUUGUAUAAUCUACGUAUUCUGCUUGGUUCUUGUCUGCGUCAAGGCAGCGUCUCUCCUCUUAUUUUCUUGCAUGGAUGCAUAUCAACAUCCCCACUGGCGCACCUCUUUUC